rnacentral:tRNA from 1 species
UUAGUUGAAACCAAAAUUAGAGGUUUUCCACUGUUAAUGGAAAAAGUGGGAUUUCCCCCAACUAAA